rnacentral:rRNA from 1 species
UACGUAGGGGGCUAGCGUUGUCCGGAAUCAUUGGGCGUAAAGAGCGCGUAGGCGGCCAGAUAAGUCCGGUGUGAAAGUCACAGGCUCAACCUGUGAAUGCCGCUGGAAACUGUCUGGCUUGAGUCCGGAAGGGGCGAGUGGAAUUCCUGGUGUAGCGGUGAAAUGCGCAGAUAUCAGGAGGAACACCGGUGGCGAAGGCGACUACCUGGCCUGUUCUUGACGCUGAGGCGCGAAAGCUAGGGGAGCAAACGGG